GGGUGACUAGUCUAGUGGUCAGGACGCUUCGUUGUGGCUGCACAACGUUCCGAAGAAACCCCGGUUCGAUUCCGGGGUCGCCCA